UUGGUAGAUCAUGACGCGUCAGAUGAAAUGGCCCGUUUCCAGUUUGUGAAGUGUCACUGUAAGUCUCACGCUGUACCCUUUUGUCUUAAAUAUCAAAGCCAACACGGGCACGUUAACAUUUGAAUAUUUUCCAGUUCUUCAUAAGUGGAGAUCGUACAAUAGGGUGGGGGGGAAAGGGCUCGUUGUAGUGAAGUAGCACAUAUCAAAAAGAAAGAGCCCUUUCUCUUUCUCUCUCUCUCUCUCCCUCUCAAUCGCUCUCUCAUUCUCUCUCUCACAUCAGUGACUGCCUGUGAAGGGCUUCCAAAUCACAGUCCUUGUACCAUUCAGCACAUACAAAAGGGCUGUGUGAGCCUGAGCAGGCAAGGCCUAAUUAAAAUCCUUUAACAGAGAGAGAAAGAGAGGGGCACAUGGAGCUGGGCUGGGAUUGUAAAGGAGGCUGUCAGUGAGUUGGGGCGUCGACAGCCACACACAGACUCUGUGACAGCUCUCCAGAGCAGCUACCACAUACGCCAUUUGCUCAGAGGGCCUUAAUUGGGUCUUUGAUGUCCCUUAGAAAGGUGGCAGAGAGAUGGAAAUGUUAUCGUCGCCCACUUUCAUACUGCCUACCAGCUUAGAUUGUUUAUGAUUUACAAAAGAUGUGCUUCUACUGCUUGCUGUCUUUUUUCAGCUACCUCUUUCUCUCUUGGGUCAGGAUGGUCGAUUAGUGAGGUCAACAACAGCCCAAGAUUGCAUCGGCUCACACCAUUGGCUCAACCAAAGGUGGGGGCGGGACUAUUUGUUUGUCCAAACAAUGGAAAUGUUGGCCGAAACAUUGAAGGAGGGACCCAUACUCAACUGUGUGGAACUGUAGCGCGGCACUUUCAUAAAGCAGAGAAGAAAGAUUUUUUUCCCCCUAC
rnacentral:lncRNA from 1 species